UCAUUAUUAAAUUGUGAGAAAAUGAUAGAACUACUGACAUCAUCCCACAACACUCAGUUACUUUGUUUGUUUGGCAUCGAAGGCAUUCUAAAAGAGGAUUUAAUCUCGUCCGACGUGGCUCUUAGUCUUCUCAGCUCUCACCUUACAUCAAUGCAGGGUAGUCAAGAUAAAGCUAUCAGGACAAAGUCUCUCAAGAUUUUACGUCAGUUGGAGAGGCUUGAAGCUGACACCAGUCUAGAUCAGCCACUGAUGCCAGAGAGCAAGCUCAUGUCCCAGUCAGUAUUAGAGGCUGCUGAGGCUGAAAUACCAGCAUCCUUGGCUAACACAACUCCACUGAAAACUGUUCUGCCAAGAGAUGCCUUUUCUUCCUCAGACGGAGCACCAAAAUCAUCUGGAGGAUCUUUGUUCAGUGGUAUGACCGUAUCGACCAGAUCGCCAGUAGCUCCUGGAGGGAAGACCUCAACAGGGAUGUCUUCGAGUUCUGCCAGUAGGCACAAGGAAGCUAAAGAAGGACAUUCAGUAGCUGAUCUGCUAAUAGACACCCAGUUCAUGUCAAAGUCAGACUCGUCAGAAACAAACUUACUCCUUUCUGACACCAAGCCAAGUUCAGUAACAAAUAAUCGGACACAAGGAGAGUUCACACAGGUAAUGAGUGCACCUGCUGCUUAUAGCUUAAGUAAUGGAAACCCUGGAGCAACACCAGUACACCAGAAAUCUGUUGAUCCAGAGGCAUCUCAGCACAGUAGGAUGGAUCCUAUAAUGUCCAGAGAGGCAGGGUUCGCUGACCUGUGGAACACGGUGUCCCCCAAGGAAGCAUCUUCUGACCCAAAGGCUUCAUCAAACCAAGUUCUCUCACAGCUCAGUACAGCAACGCCACAGGUUGAUAUGCCUUCACAACAUCCUCAUCCUAGCAUGACCUUACAACAGCCAGUCAUGUCAGCACAGCAUAUUUCCCAGAUGUACCCUCAGCUAUCAUCGAUCACCCUGAGUGGGAUGACCUCGACACCGAUCAAUCUUGCCAAAAAACCAACCACGGGUUUGGAUUUGUUGUGGACAAUGAUGAUGAGAAGCAGAAAGCAGGAGCAAGUAGAGAUGCCUUUAGUUUCAUCCAAGAUGCAAUGAAAAAUAGCAAAUCAUGAUGACUAAUUAAAGAGGAAAUUAACCUUCCAUGAGAUACCCGUACAUGUAGAGACAACUGUAGUGAUUGGCCUCCUAUCAGUUUAGAAUAUAAGCCCCUUAAAAACAGUUUGAACACUCAAGUUGAAUCAAUUUUUAGCUCUCUCGUCGUGGCAUAAUUAAUCAUCACUUGAUUAUUAUCAUUAGAUAUUGUGUCUAUUCCUCUUUAAAAUUACGCCAUAUAUUAACAAUUUUCCAGCCAGAGAGUGAGUAGCACAACAUAAUAUAGGGCGGGGUAAAGAGGUGAUCACUGCAUGGUAUUGGUAUGCAUAGCACUCUUUUUUUUCUUUGACACAAGUGUGAUUUUUGUUAAUGACAUUGAGGCUUUUGUUUCCCAACUGGUCAUCCUUGAAUGGCAAAUUCUGAAGAAUCUGAUAUUGAAAUUCAUGCAUUAUGGUGAC